rnacentral:rRNA from 1 species
UACGGGGGGGCAAGCGUUGUUCGGAAUUACUGGGCGUAAAGGGCGCGUAGGCGGUUCGCUAAGUUGAAUGUGAAAACUCUGGGCUUAACCCAGAGCCUGCAUCCAAAACUGGCGAACUGGAGUACUGGAGGGGAAAGCGGAAUUCCUGGUGUAGCGGUGAAAUGCGUAGAUAUCAGGAGGAACACCGGUGGCGAAGGCGGCUUUCUGGACAGUAACUGACGCUGAGGCGCGAAAGCCGGGGGGAGCAAACAGG